GACCCGCGGGAUCCGCACUGUCAGAGCGAUGACGCGCAGUGGGCGGGGUUUUGCCCAUAUAUGGAAGAGAAGGGGUCUGACAUUUCCGGUCGCUGGCGUUGCCCAAGUACCGCAGCACACUCCUGAGUGAUGAUGAGAAAGGAAAGCUGUAGAGAGACACGAGCAUAUCUGGGAUGAUUGUUUGACUCAUUCCUGGAAGAUUCAGUGAGCAGCGCUUUUCUCGCUAAGAAGCUAGCAGGCGACUCACCCUCCACUUGAGUAUUUGAACAAUACAAAACUAAUUCUGAUGUGUGAAUCCUACAUUAUUAACACAGAGAAAGAGGAUGAGAGUUUGCUGUGAAUAAAAAAAAAAGAAAUCCAAGCUAAAGCUAAAAAUAAUCACUGGCAGCUUUGCACAGCGGUGCAGCGAGUGGCUAGGGACCUCCAAGGUGGCAAAGCAGCGAAAAAGGCGCAUAAAAAACCUGGCACAAUGUUUAAAUUAAACAGUGAAAUUCAACAUCUGCGUUCCAAAGCCUUUACCCUCAAUUUCGCAUCUCAGGCGUGUGCGAAAGUGUGCGUUUGGGCGUUUGUGUGAGUGCACGCCGGCUUGUGAGCGCAUGUGAUUGAGAGAUUUUAGACGCUCAUUCGCACUAAUCUCCGUUUACUCCGAUUUCACCAGCUCAGUGAUGAACUAUGGCACGACGGAGCCUCCGAACGCGGCGCUCGCAUGGAGCGUUGUCCCACUUUCAGACUCGGAGGGAGGCAGUUUGUCUGGAAAAAAAAGCAUAUGGACUGCAUAUUCAUUAGUGCACUGCUGAUAAAUAGAUUAAUUGGCUAGAUUAGGCAGCCAAAGCUUUGAUCACAGGAAGCGAGCCAAGAGUGUGUUUGUUGUUUAGUGUAAUUUUGUUCAUUGCGAGGGAACGCGGUGCAGAAAACCUUGCUGCACAGGCGUUUAUGGGAUUUAUUUUCCAGUUAGUGUUAAGAGGAGACCGCAAACAUGUAAACAACAGAAGAGCAAGGAAAUCUAAUGAGUGCGUGGGUGGGUACACAUGUAAAAGGAAAAGAGACACAAGAAGGCUAAUUAGUGCUCAGAACAAUUCAAUCAUAUAUGAUGGGAGCUUGAGCGUGUUUCAUCAUGUCAGAGUGGCGUGAAAACCUCAAAUCAGCAUGAUCCAACUAAACAAUAAAAUGUACAAAUCUGCACAAAUGUUGGUGGUUAUUUUUUUUUUUCAUUUGAGAUCCUUCAGGGUGGCCUUUUAAUCUCUGUUUUAUUUGCAUCCAGACCAUUUCGACGAUUGAUUUUAUUCAAUUAGUAAAUGCAUAAAAUAUAGAAAUCAUUACACAGUAUAUCUUAUCCAGGUGUCUUUGAAUCGGCUCUGAAACCAAUAUAUGCAUCGUGACUAUUGUUCAGUGAUUACUGCAAUAUUGUAUUGUGAUGUAAUAAAUAUCAGCACUUUGGAAGAACAACACUGCAGUGUAGAAAUAUAUUACCAUUUAUUUUAAGUGCCUGUUUCUUUCCUUUUCCUUUGUCAUUUGUUGUUAUUUGUUUCACACUGUGUAUACCUAUAAAAGCUCCACGGUGAUGCUCAUGACCUCAUGAGUUCCUCUGCAAUUCUGAGUUGAAUGAAGACGAUAAUAUGGGAAAAUGAAUGGGCUGGGCUGAGCUGUGAAGUUUUCCUGUGCAUCAGAAGAACCCGUGUUUAUUCUCUUUGCUCUUUCUUCCUCCCAGUGGAGUCACUGUGGUUUCACCCCUGUUAACUCGGAUUUGAUUUAACCUUUAAAGCAAAGGUGCGUGCCUCCUCCUUCGGUAAACACCUCCAAACGCAUUUGCACUGGAACUGUUCUCAGAUACAAACAUGACGUGAGGCUAUGAGAACGCCACCGGCAUUAUUAAUUCAUAAUAUGCUUACAGCUCUUUAUCAGGCGUGCAAGAGAAGAUGAAAGACCUCGUUCGGUGACGGCCGUCCUCCUGCGUUGGCUCUUUUCAAACCGUCUGACACACAACCUGGUGUUCGACAGCUCAGGAUGGGCCUUUGAAUGUGUCUGCAUGUGUGUUUAUGUGUGUGUGCCUUAACAUUUUUCAACAGCUCAUCCAUUAGAGCAGGCCCGCUGCUGACUGACAGCAGCGUUCUGCACCCUUUCAUGGCUCCAUGUACAUUGCGUAAGUCUGUGGGGGAUUGCUUUGAGCGCCGAGAGAGCUCUGAGCACUGUCAAGGCUCACUGAAAGCCACAGAGGUGAUCCAGCUAAGUAAAUAACCUAAAAACACACGAGCAUCAGUCCUGUCAUUGUUUUUUAGCAAGGAAAUCAAAAUCCCAGGAGGAAAAAGUGGUACUGAAAAAUGAGCUGUUAGAAAAUAAAUCGCAUGUUUUUUUUUUUUCUUGACUUUCUUUUUACAUGAUUUAAUGUCUAUCAUUUUAAACGAAGGUUAGAAAUAAAGUUAGAAAUGGAUCAAGAGGUUACAGCAGGAUAUGGGAUGCUUAGCUAAAGACCACAGAAAUCCAAUGCAAAUCAAAGGUUCGGAAGAAACACCUAGAAAAAUCAGAUCUGCCAUAAAUGAGCCGAACAAGAGUUCAUUCUACAAUGGGGUUUUUAUCAUUCAAAGCUAAUUGCAUUAAAAUGGCCAUUAUGGAUAUGCCAAAUGUAAGCCACAGUCUUUCAGAUGUAAAACAAAAGCAUUUUAAGCCUGUAAACGAAGCACUGAUUCUUUUACAGCCAUUAAAUCAACCACUAGUGAUACUUUUCAACUAUUUCUUGUACUGUGAAACAUCCAGAGAUUAAAAAUAACAGGUUGUCC